UAUCCUAACUACGACAGCNCGUNUNAUGCAUCUAGCUUUAGGCCGUUGGUAUCUAUAGAGAUCUCACCACCCUGGCCGCUUCGGUCUGUGCACAGCCUAACACAUGCAAGUCGAACGGUAACAGGAAGCAGCUUGCUGCUUUGCUGACGAGUGGCGGACGGGUGAGUAAUGUCUGGGAAACUGCCUGAUGGAGGGGGAUAACUACUGGAAACGGUAGCUAAUACCGCAUAACGUCGCAAGACCAAAGAGGGGGACCUUCGGGCCUCUUGCCAUCGGAUAGUGCCCAGAUGGGAUUAGCUAGUAGGUGGGGUAACGGCUCACCUAGGCGACGAUCCCUAGCUGGUCUAGAGAGGAUGACCAGCCACACUAGGAACUGAACGCAUCUCGG
rnacentral:rRNA from 1 species